GCAGGAGAAAAGUUUUCCAUUGAGAGGCUGGAGUGGAGCUCUAGGGAUUGGUGGGGUUGUCACCAGCCAUACCAGUGCAUUCUAAGGCACAAGUUGUUUGCUUUGGCCCAGAAACAGCUGGCAGUUGGCCAGUGCCCAGCCACCUUGUCCUUUGCCCAUGAAGGCUCUAGUAAUUAGCAAUAUUCACCGAAUGAAUCACAGUUGCUAUCAUAUCUUUCCUCCGGAGCAGCCACAGCAGAGCUUACUGGGAAAAGCUUUGGUGAUGGUGCUUCAUGGUUCCCUGGGGUAGAUGCACAGGCUGAAGAGGAGGGGCAGGGAAAUUUUUGAGUCUGAUGUUUUAGAGGAAAGCCUUACCCCCUCUCCCUUGAAGUUUGAUUCUACAUACAACU
rnacentral:lncRNA from 1 species